GUGGUUCAGCAGGUUAAGGACCCAGCAUUGUCACUGCUGUGUUUCAGGUUCGAUUCCUGGC
rnacentral:tRNA from 1 species